GGGCGGCUAGCUCAGCGGCAGAGCAAUUGCUUUACACGCAAAAGGUCGGGGGUUCAAAUCCCUCGCCGCCCACCA
rnacentral:tRNA from 1 species